CACCGCUAUUCACGAUAAUCCCUCUUCCUUUCUCCUGGCCGUCCAGAAGGAAUUCCCAUCAAUCCAGGACCUGCUUCGUGCCAACUUCAUUACCUCCUGUCUUAUUUCUUCUUCACAGCUUCUCCGCAUGGUUAAAUUAAAUGACAUCCAAGGAAUGAAGACCUUAGACCUGCGCUGUCCAGUACAAUAGCUACAAGCCACGACAUUCGGAGGAAGAUACCACAUUUUCUUUUUAACAACUGUGGAAACUGAGUGUCCAUGAGGUUCAACAGCUUCUCAAGCUUUCAUAGCCAUUCUCAGGAUCUAUGAAUCUCGAGAGCUGAUGCCCGCAGAGCCCAGGACGCCCAAGCUGACCUCACCUCCAGCCACCACUCCACCCCUUCUGUGCUAACCCAGGGGACACCCACAUUCAUGCCCAGAAGAUGGUGAAGGAGAUGUAUUUUUUUCAGGGUGACGCUGAGCUAGACCCAGACAUGCACUACCCGCUCCCCCUUCAGGGAAAGACAAGCCGCCCAGCUGGGGGAGGGCGGGGAGCAGGUGGCUCUCAGCUCCUUCAGGUGUCCUUGGCUACAGAGGGCCACCUCGCCCAAGGUCAUGCCCUCCUGGGCAGCCUGCAUGCCCUGAAAGAGCAGGAAGAUAAUAUAAAGGAUUGGUCAACUGGGUCCAACUCGGGCAACCCACAUGGACAAUCCCUGCCCCAGAGCUCCCGGUGGGAGGUGGUUCAGCAGUUCCUUCUGAGUUGAUGGUGUUUUGUGUUUUCACAGUGCUCGAGACCCUUGCAUCUCUUUACCCCCGUAGCUGCCCCUGCGAAUUGGUCAGACACCUCCACCUGGCAGGGGCCUGCCACACAAACUGCUUCUUUCCCCCCCGUUUGAGGUGUCCGCUAGGCAAUACCUUCUGUUUACCUAAGAGCUGAAUUUCUGGCAAGAAAGAGAGAGGCAGCGAGUGGGGUGCCACCAGCUGACAGGCUUUAGGAGCAAAGAACCCUCAGCUACACUUUUCUAAUAAUCCUCAGGCCUGGAACAAAGGACACUUUGUCCUGGCACAGACAGGACAAGAAGUUUAAAGCACAGCAGAUACAGCUAACCAGGUUGAUUUUACUUACCAAAGCUUUGCUAUAUGCUCGAUUCCCACACAGAUUUGCUGAUUUGGGUUCAGAAAUCCCCACUGCAAAGUUGAACGGAGGGGACGUUACUCAGUGGUACUCUGGGUUCCAGCUCCCCCGGGUUCUGCAUCAAUUAUCCCAUAGCUAAUCAGUCACAAG